ACACCCACCUCCGGCGAAACCAGUCCGGCGACGCGAGAAAGAAGACGCGCGCGUGGGCAGCGCGUAGACUGGGCGCGUGGUGGCGCGUGGGACCUCCAAAUUGAGUUCUGAAAAUUGUCACGCGUUCGUGACGUCGUGUAGAUCACCGUGGUGAAAAUUAUACAGAAGAAGAAUGUAACCAAUCUAGAGGAGGCUCAGGGACCUACGUGACGUCGAUGUGAUCUGUUUAAGAUAUCAGAGCUUGGUGGCUACGAGGAAUCCAACGGUGUUCUGACAGAAUGGACAAAAAUUAGGACUCACUUUUGGGUGUUUCAUCUUAGAAAUUGUAUCUUUAAAGCUUCCGUACUGUGUAAAUGGUUACGUCACUCUCACGUGACGGCCAGCAUGCCCUCCUUCGGGACGGGGUGUGUC